rnacentral:rRNA from 1 species
UGUGAACUGCAGGACACAUGAACACCGACACGUUGAACGCAUAUUGCGCAUUGCACGACUUAGUGCGAUGUACACAUUUUUGAGUGCCCACAUUCACCGCAGAACCAACUAGCGAGGUCGUCGGCUGGGUCCCCACGCGGGGCCUGUCGCGGCUUAGCUGCGUACUGAUGAGUUGAUUGACGCCGUCAAACGCGUGUGAUCAAGCAUUGAAGGACUGUGGCGUGGUGAGUACACUCCGUGUGGGUGUGUCGUUGCUUAAUACGACUCCUCUCUCUGGUAUCACAACUGGUGCGGGCUACCCCCAGGUCACAAUCCCCAGCGACAUGUGACGACACAGCUUGCGGUAGCCCCGAUGUGGAGGUCCUUGGAAGCGACCUCCCUCAAAGCCAGCCUGUGUGAUAGUCCACACACGCACAUAGGUGAGAGAGAGAGACCAAACGUACCCUGAAGCCAACGUACACGCUUGCGCGGCGGAGUGUGAGUCAUCGAGCGCACGAUCGAGAGAGAGAACCGAUCACAAGUGGGCCUCAAAUAAUGUGUGACUACCCCCUGAAUUUAAGCAUA